rnacentral:rRNA from 1 species
GACGAAGGGGGCUAGCGUUGCUCGGAAUCACUGGGCGUAAAGGGUGCGUAGGCGGGUCUUUAAGUCAGGGGUGAAAUCCUGGAGCUCAACUCCAGAACUGCCUUUGAUACUGAAGAUCUUGAGUUCGGGAGAGGUGAGUGGAACUGCGAGUGUAGAGGUGAAAUUCGUAGAUAUUCGCAAGAACACCCGUGGCGAAGGCGGCUCUCUGGGACGGUACUGACGCUGAGACGCGAAAGCGUGGGGAGCGAACAGG